rnacentral:sRNA from 1 species
CUCCAGGCUCCACUGUCAUCAUCUCACUGAAAGCUGAUCCUCCUUGGGACCCCUGUGCCCAGCAAAGGGCUGGACAUGGCAGCCAGAUAAGCUGGUGGUUGUAUGGACCCGUCGGAACCGACGCAUCUGCUCCAAGGCCCACAGCUGGCAGCCGGGCAUCCAGAACCCAUACCGGG